rnacentral:rRNA from 1 species
AGUGAACGCUGGCGGCAGGCCUAACACAUGCAAGUCGAGCGGCAGCGGGUCCUUCGGGAUGCCGGCGAGCGGCGGACGGGUGAGGAAUACAUCGGAAUCUGCCCUGUCGUGGGGGAUAACCUAGGGAAACUUAGGCUAAUACCGCAUACGACCUACGGGUGAAAGCGGGGGAUCGCAAGACCUCGCGCGACAGGAUGAGCCGAUGUCCGAUUAGCUAGUUGGCGGGGUAAAGGCCCACCAAGGCGACGAUCGGUAGCUGGUCUGAGAGGAUGAUCAGCCACACUGGGACUGAGACACGGCCCAGACUCCUACGGGAGGCAGCAGUGGGGAAUAUUGGACAAUGGGCGCAAGCCUGAUCCAGCCAUGCCGCGUGGGUGAAGAAGGCCUUCGGGUUGUAAAGCCCUUUUGUCCGGGAAGAAAUCGUCUGGGCUAGUACCCCGGGCGGAUGACGGUACCGGAAGAAUAAGCACCGGCUAACUUCGUG